CUGAACUUUUGGUGGUAUUUAUCAUAGAAUCAAAGAACCAUAGAAUGGCCUGAGUUGAAAAGGUCCUUAAAGAUCACAUAGUUUCGACCUCCCUGCUCUGGGCAGGGUGGCCAACUACUAGAGCAGGCUUCCCAGAUCUGCAUCCAACCUGGCAUUGAAUACCUCCAGAGAUGGGGCAUCCACAACCUCUCUAGGCAACCUUUUCCAGUGCCUCACCACCCUCUGGGUGAAAAACUUUCUCCUAAUAUCUAAUCUA